UGUGGUGUGCCUCCGUGGUAGAGUGCUUGUCUAACAAGCAGGAAGCCCUGGGUCAGAACCCCAGUACUACCA
rfam:Ictidomys tridecemlineatus contig106482, whole genome shotgun sequence.